rnacentral:rRNA from 1 species
CCUACGGGUGGCAGCAGUGGGGGAUAUUGGACAAUGGGGGAAACCCUGAUCCAGCGACGCCGCGUGAGUGAAGAAGUAUUUCGGUAUGUAAAGCUCUAUCAGCAGGGAAGAAAGAAAUGACGGUACCUGAGUAAGAAGCCCCGGCUAACUACGUGCCAGCAGCCGCGGUAAUACGUAGGGGGCAAGCGUUAUCCGGAAUUACUGGUUGUAAAGGGAGCGUAGACGGUAAUGCAAGUCUGGAGUGAAAGGCGGGGGCCAACCCCCCGGAAUGCUCCUGAAACUGUGGAACUGGAGUGCCGGGGAGGUAGGCGGAAGUCCUGGUGUAGCGGUGAAAUGAGGAGAUAUUAGGAGGAAAACCAGGGGCGAAGGCGGCCUGCUGGACUGUAACUGACGUUGAGGCUCGAAAGCGUGGGGAGCAAACAGGAUUAGAUACCCGGGUAGUC